CCUACGGGAGGCAGCAGUGGGGAAUAUUGCGCAAUGGGCGCAAGCCUGACGCAGCAACGCCGCGUGCAGGAAGAAGGCCUUCGGGUUGUAAACUUCUUUUCUCAGGGACGAAGCCAGUGACGGUACCUGAGGAAUAAGCUACGGCUAACUACGGGCCAGCAGCCGCGGUAAUACGUAGGUGGCAACCGUUAUCCGGAUUUACUGGGUGUAAAGGGCGUGGAGGCGGGACAGCAAGUCAGAUGGGAAAGCCUUGGGCUCAACCUGUGGCCUGCAUUUGACACUGUUUUUCUUGAGUACUGUAGAGGCAGACGGAAUUCCUAGUGUAGCGGUGAAAUGCGUAGAGAUUAGGAGGAACACCAGUGGCGAAGGCGGUCUGCUGGACAGCAACUGACGCUGAGGCGCGAAAGCGUGGGGAGCAAACAGGAUUAGAUACCCCAGUAGUC
rnacentral:rRNA from 1 species